GAACAAAACGACGAGGAGACGCCGAUAACAAAUGUGCUCGAGUUGUCUAACGAUCUGUAUCACUGAUUCCUAUUGACAACUAAACCAACUAUGAAAGCAAUGUGCCUUCAGGCGAUGACUAAAGUUUAUGGAAAAUAUCACGAAGAGAUUGGAGC
rnacentral:lncRNA from 1 species